rnacentral:rRNA from 1 species
UACGUAGGCGGAAAAUCAAGUCAGUGGUGAAAUCCUGCAGCUUAACUGUAGAACUGUCAUUGAUACUGGUUUUCUUGAAUACAGUUGAGGUAGGCGGAAUGUGUAAUGUAGCGGUGAAAUGCUUAGAUAUUACACAGAACACCGAUUGCGAAGGCAGCUUACUAAACUGUUAUUGACGCUGAGGUACGAAAGCGUGGGGAGCGAACAGGAUUAGAUACCCUGGUAGUCC